UCAUUAAGCGCAUUACUGUACUACAAGUUAUAAUUCCCAAGAGGCAAGAGCUUUACUUCAACCAUAUCCCACAUUACUACACAUCAAAUGCAACACCAUUCCUUGUUUAAUACCAUCAGCCGACAAGGAAUCAAUAAAGGAAAAUCAUUAAAGCAAUAAAGGAAAAUCAUUAAGGUUAGUGGAGAGAAAUAAGUGUGCUGCCACCAUCCUUUGAUCCCCACCUCUUCAACCACCAAAAGCCAUGCUUUCCUCCCUUUACAGCCACCAACUUCACUCCUUAUUAUAUCAACCACCAAAUUCUUCUCUCUUUAAGCAUCAAUAGCUUGAGAGAAUUGUCUAGCUGCUGCAAAACUUCGAAGAGGUAAGAUUGGCUUAGCCUUAUCCAUUUUUUUUCUUUUCUUAGUUCUCCCUGCAUUGUUAAAGAAAAACAAGAUAUGUGAUUUUUUUCAGCUAUCUUCUCAUUAAAUUCAAACAGAGCAACAGACAGCCAAAAGGACAAAACAAUCAAGGUCAAGGGCGAGAUUGAUAAUCUGUUGAGGAGCUUUCGUAUCACAGAAAAUCACUAUCAGGUUGAGCAGCUGCCGAUGGUGAUGAAGUGACGAGCGGGAUUCUUUUGUCUUAUUAUGUAUUAAUGAACUCUAGGGUUACAUGUCUUCAUACAUGUAAUCAGAACCUUAUUCCGCUGCGUACUCAGAAGUUUUAUGUUAUUUUGGCUAAGUCAGAGUUAUCUGAACUUACUAGUUAUUUGAGUCUAUACGACUA